AACGAACGCUGGCGGCAUGCCUAACACAUGCAAGUCGAACGAGACCUUCGGGUCUAUUGGCGCACGGGUGCGUAACGCGUGGGAACCUGCCCUUAGGUUCGGAAUAACUCCCAGAAAGGGGUGCUAAUACCGGAUAAUGUCUUCGGACCAAAGAUUUAUCGCCUUUGUGUGGGCCCUCGUUGGAUUAGCUAGUUGGUAGGGUAAAAGCCUACCAAGGCGACGAUCAAUACCUGGUCUGAGAGGAUGAUCAGCCACACUGGGACUGAGACACGGCCCAGACUCCUACGGGAUGCAGCAGUGGGUAAUAUUGCACAAUGGGCUAAAGCCUGAUCCAGCAAUGCCGCGUGAGUGAUGAAGGCCUUAGGGUUGUAAAGCUCUUUUACCCGUGAUGAUCUUGACAGUACCGGGAGAAUAAGCUCCGGCUAACUCCGUG
rnacentral:rRNA from 1 species